AUGGACUGAUAUUGUGGGGAGAAAAAAAUUCACGGACGUUGCACUCCGUUGCACCGUGUAACGGUCUGUUACAGACCGUUUGACGCUCCAAUUCGGCGACUUUGCUCGUCUCCUUCGAAUCCACUUGACUUUCUCACGAUUCCUUGCUUUCCCCCUCUUCAAAAAAUCGUACCUUUGAUUUGUUAUUGGAAGGGGAAGCUAAAGAAUAAGAAGGAUUGUUCAUUGCUGUCGGCCAGCACUUCAUCAGUUCACCUCCUCCAUUUCUCUGAUUUUGAACUUUGAAGCCUAAGAUCUGCCCCCCUCAAGCAGUCGCAGCCUCGCAGGCCAGCCUUGCAGCAGCUCCACGAGUUGCCGCUAGCCCUACAGCAGCUCCGUGAGUCGUUGCCGACUCGCCAGUACGUCCUGCAGCAGCUCCCUCCGCCACUCCUCGCCACUCGUUAGUCCUGCAGCAGCUCCCUAUGACUAUUCGAGACUCCUCCAAUCCUCUAGGCUCUAGCGAAGAUGUCUUGUGGAGUAUGAUAGUAAUCAGAAUAACGCAGUGGAAGCAUGGGAUGGGAUAGAAUGUCCGGUAUAGAGUUGUAUUAUUUUAUUAAUCUAUUGAUGAUCUCAGAAUCCUAUAUGUUGUAUUGAGAUUUUUAGUUGUAAUAAAUGAUGGUUUUUAGUGUUC